rnacentral:rRNA from 1 species
ACGUUACCAAUGGGAAUCGUUUUCAACCUCCCUUCCGGAGAAUGAGCAGGGCCAACACAGGAUUUGAAGGGGACGUCUCGACGUCGUGCCUGUGAACGCUAUUUUUGUAGUUUAUUCUGCAAUAACGCUGUAUCUUUUGUGAAGAUUAUCUUACAACCUUGUUCUCUCUUCAUUGAGCGCUGUUGUAGGAACUAUAUUAACUUAUUUCACCUUUUUUGCUAGUUGACUUUUAUAUGUUGUUCUUUGCGCUUGCGUAAAGUUCACACGUUUAAUUAUUUGAACGUUAAAAUUACAACUCUUAGCAAUGGAUAUCUUGGUUCUCGCAACGAUGAAGAACGCAGCGAAAUGCGAUACGUAAUGCGAAUUGCAGAAUUCAGUGAAUCAUCAAAUCUUUGAACGCAAAUUGCGCUUCUGGGUAGCCCUAGGAGCACGCCUCUCUCAGUAUCGGUUCAACCCUCUCUCAGCAGCGUGUGAAUAGUUUAUUCUGUUUAUGCGUGUUGGCUGGAUAAUGAGAGUCUGUAUGCUUGCGUGCAGUCUCUUUAAGUACAUGGAGUGAAACAUUAACUUUCAAUCAAUUCAAUAGUUUAUUCUGUUGAUAGUCAAUCUUUGGCUGUUGUUUGAUAGUGACGUGAAUAUUGGCCCUUGUGGUCUUCCUUUUACGUUUAUCUAUUGAAU